rnacentral:rRNA from 1 species
AUUGAACGCUGGCGGCAGGCCUAACACAUGCAAGUCGAGCGGAUGAGAAGAGCUUGCUCUUCGAUUCAGCGGCGGACGGGUGAGUAAUGCCUAGGAAUCUGCCUGGUAGUGGGGGACAACGUUUCGAAAGGAGCGCUAAUACCGCAUACGUCCUACGGGAGAAAGCAGGGGACCUUCGGGCCUUGCGCUAUCAGAUGAGCCUAGGUCGGAUUAGCUAGUUGGUGAGGUAAUGGCUCACCAAGGCGACGAUCCGUAACUGGUCUGAGAGGAUGAUCAGUCACACUGGAACUGAGACACGGUCCAGACUCCUACGGGAGGCAGCAGUGGGGAAUAUUGGACAAUGGGCGAAAGCCUGAUCCAGCCAUGCCGCGUGUGUGAAGAAGGUCUUCGUAUUGUAAAGCACUUUAAGUUGGGAGGAAGGGCAGUAAGUUAAUACCUUGCUGUUUUGACGUUACCGACAGAAUAAGCACCGGCUAACUCUGUGCCAGCCGCCGCCGUAAUAC